GCCGAAGUGGUGAAAUAGGUAGACACAAUUGAUUCAAAAUCAAUCGUAGUAAUACAUGCCGGUUCAAUUCCGGCCUUCGGUA
rnacentral:tRNA from 1 species